rnacentral:rRNA from 1 species
GCUUGUCUCAAAGAUUAAGCCAUGCAUGUCUAAGUAUAAGCCUUUAUAUGGUGAGACUGCGAAUGGCUCAUUAAAUCAGAAACUGUUUAUUUGAUAGUGCCUACUACAUGGAUACCUGUAGUAAUUCUAGAGCUAAUACAUGCACAAAUUCCCGUCAGGGAUGUAUUUAUUAGAUUGAAACCAAUGCGGGGUAACCCGGUGUUUGGUGAUUCAUAAUAACUUUCGGAUCGCAUUUGCGAUGCAUCAUUCAAGUUUCUGCCCUAUCAGCUUUGGAUGGUAGGGUAUUGGCCUACCAUGGCAUUAACGGGUAACGGAGGAUUUGGGUUCGAUUCCGGAGAGGGAGCCUGAGAAAUGGCUACCACAUCCAAGGAAGGCAGCAGG